ACGGUAACAGGAAGCAGCUUGCUGCUUUGCUGACGAGUGGCGGACGGGUGAGUAAUGUCUGGGAAACUGCCUGAUGGAGGGGGAUAACUACUGGAAACGGUGGCUAAUACCGCAUAACGUCGCAAGACCAAAGAGGGGGACCUUCGGGCCUCUUGCCAUCAGAUGUGCCCAGAUGGGAUUAGCUAGUUGGUGAGGUAACGGCUCACCAAGGCGACGAUCCCUAGCUGGUCUGAGAGGAUGACCAGCCACACUGGAACUGAGACACGGUCCAGACUCCUACGGGAGGCAGCAGUGGGGAAUAUUGCACAAUGGGCGCAAGCCUGAUGCAGCCAUGCCGCGUGUAUGAAGAAGGCCUUCGGGUUGUAAAGUACUUUCAGCGGGGAGGAAGGUGUUGUGGUUAAUAACCGCAGCAAUUGACGUUACCCGCAGAAGAAGCACCGGCUAACUCCGUGCCAGCAGCCGCGGUAAUACGGAGGGUGCAAGCGUUAAUCGGAAUUACUGGGCGUAAAGCGCACGCAGGCGGUCUGUCAAGUCGGAUGUGAAAUCCCCGGGCUCAACCUGGGAACUGCAUUCGAAACUGGCAGGCUUGAGUCUUGUAGAGGGGGGUAGAAUUCCAGGUGUAGCGGUGAAAUGCGUAGAGAUCUGGAGGAAUACCGGUGGCGAAGGCGGCCCCCUGGACAAAGACUGACGCUCAGGUGCGAAAGCGUGGGGAGCAAACAGGAUUAGAUACCCUGGUAGUCCACGCCGUAAACGAUGUCUACUUGGAGGUUGUGCCCUUGAGGCGUGGCUUCCGGAGCUAACGCGUUAAGUAGACCGCCUGGGGAGUACGGCCGCAAGGUUAAAACUCAAAUGAAUUGACGGGGGCCCGCACAAGCGGUGGAGCAUGUGGUUUAAUUCGAUGCAACGCGAAGAACCUUACCUGGUCUUGACAUCCACAGAAGAAUCCAGAGAUGGAUUUGUGCCUUCGGGAACUGUGAGACAGGUGCUGCAUGGCUGUCGUCAGCUCGUGUUGUGAAAUGUUGGGUUAAGUCCCGCAACGAGCGCAACCCUUAUCCUUUGUUGCCAGCGGUCCGGCCGGGAACUCAAAGGAGACUGCCAGUGAUAAACUGGAGGAAGGUGGGGAUGACGUCAAGUCAUCAUGGCCCUUACGACCAGGGCUACACACGUGCUACAAUGGCGCAUACAAAGAGAAGCGACCUCGCGAGAGCAAGCGGACCUCAUAAAGUGCGUCGUAGUCCGGAUUGGAGUCUGCAACUCGACUCCAUGAAGUCGGAAUCGCUAGUAAUCGUGGAUCAGAAUGCCACGGUGAAUACGUUCCCGGGCCUUGUACACACCGCCCGUCACACCAUGGGAGUGGGUUGCAAAAGAAGUAGGUAGCUUAACCUUCGGGAGGGCGCUUACCACUUUGUGAUUCAUGACUGGGGUGAAGUCGUAACAAGGUAACCGUAGGGGAACCUGCGGUUGGAUCACCUCCUUA
rnacentral:rRNA from 1 species